CGACAAACAACAAUAGCCUCCGGGAACUUAAUUGGGUAUUUAAAAGGGUUAGGGACUAAAGUGUCCAUCACAAAAAUCAUUGGAGACCGAAUUGGAUAAUUAUUCAAUUUUUUUCUAAACACCCUCCAUGCGAUGCCAUUUUAUUAUGAAUGAAAAAAACCUAAUUCAACAGCACCCCGAAACCAUCCCCAACCUCACCUCACUCUGAGACACGCUCUCACCUCUCUCACUCACCUCACCGUCGCUGCCGGUCGUCACUCGCCGCCGAAGCUCCGCUCUCUUGAAUGAUAAGUAUUUGCCUAGACAUUUUUUAUGGUUUGGAGCAUGGUUCUGAAAAUUGAACCGAAUCGGCCAGUUCAACCGGAAAAAUCAGGAACCGGUCACCUAAUUGGUCCGGAUAAGGUCAGAAAUCAGCUAGUAAAAAAUCGGUGAAAAAACCGGUCAAACCGGCAGUUAACCGAUGAACCAGGAGAACCGUCCGAUUUUUUCACGGUUUAUUGGUUUGAAAAUUAAACUUCAAAACGGCGUCGUUUUGAAGAAAAAAAAAA